CCUACGGGGGACAGCAGUCGAGAAUCAUUCACAAUGGGGGAAACCCUGAUGCUGCGACGCCGCGUGGGGGAAUGAAGGUCUUCGGAUUGUAACCCCCUGUCAUGUGGGAGCAAAUUAAAAAGAUAGUACCACAAGAGGAAGAGACGGCUAACUCUGUGCCAGCAGCCGCGGUAAUACGGAGGUCUCAAGCGUUGUUCGGAAUCACUGGGCGUAAAGCGUGCGUAGGCUGUUUCGUAAGUCGUGUGUGAAAGGCGCGGGCUCAAUGCGCGGACGGCACAUGAUACUGCGAGACUAGAGUAAGGGAGGGGUAACCGGAAGUCGCGGUGUAGCAGUGAAAUGCGUAGAUAUCGAGAGGAACACUCGUGGCGAAGGCGGGUUCCUGGACAUUAACUGACGCUGAGGCACGAAGGCCAGGGGAGCGAAAGGGAUUAGAUACCCGGGUAGUC
rnacentral:rRNA from 1 species